CCUCUAAAGCUGACCUCAGGAUAGCUGGCAGUCCUGCACGGCCAAACCCGUGCAGCUUUAUGAGGUAAAGAGAAUGAUUAGAGGUCUUGGGGCUGAAACAAUCUCAAC
rnacentral:miRNA from 1 species